CUGGGAUGAACAGAACAGUGUUGCCAGACGUCAGAUGUACAGUUUUCCUUUGGCAGUCACUGUUCAAAUUACUGUCGUCAAAAUCGUAAUUGACCAUACCACGGUGUAUAACGUGACAAUGAUGACGCCGCCAAUCGCUCCGGGACGUGGCGUCAACUGGUCUAAAAUUUGAGGAACCAUUUUCACCGCACGUCAUUAUGAAUUCUCUUUUUUUUGGCGGGCAAGUGGAUCCAGGUGGGCCUGGGAGCGUGGGAGGGUUCUGCUCUAUCGACUCUACCUAACGAGCUCGCACCGACGUUCGUAGCAGCCAAAGAAGUGUCGGUAUCAAAGCUUGAGAUUGAGUCGGUACAAAGUGAGUACGUAAGACUACUUGUCGACUGCGCCUUAGAAAUGUCGAUCAGCUCGAUCAUCCCUGUGAUAUGAAGCGUAACCGCGUCUAUCGCCAACCAACCCCAACUAUCUCUUCCUCCUCCUCCUCCACCCGCUCGUCGUUCAAGUCGUCCUCGUGCUCGACCACCUCCGAUCACCUCCAACCACCUCGAAACACCUCCUACGACCACCUACCUUCUCCUAUCACCUCCAAACACCUCCUACCAUCUCCGUCCGCCUCCUGCCACCGCCUGCCCGCCACCUGCCACCUCCUACCACCGCCAACCACCACCAAACACCUCCUACGUUGACUAAAGAAUAUAAAGACAGUUGCCAUGGACUUUGGUGUGACAACCGAAAAUCGUCAUGUGCCUGCGCUCCCUGAGAUUUUUCAACGGUAGAGUUGAGAAUUUAUUGCAGAACAUCAGAGAGUUGCCGAUUACGACAUGAUGCUGGUUGCAUUCACCUUCCGACUAACAGUCUUCGCAAUGACAAGCCCAAGCCAGUACUUAGCCUGUGCACUUAUGGACUUGCAGCGUUACUGACUUGUCGGCGAUACAAGAAAUUAAUAAUGAGAAUAAAUUUCUUCCAAAUUCGUAGCAAAAUAGUGAUUUAAUUAAAGUAUAGGUACGCGA